rnacentral:ncRNA from 2 species
AAAAAAUCUAGAGGUUGCGAAAUAUCAUGAAUUUCAAUAGAGCAUGAGGAUGCUAAGACAUUGAAUAGAGGGAUUUUCGCCGAAGUAGUGUUAUAUUUCCUUAAGUUAACACUAUUGGGUUCAUGGUUAAUAACCAUGAAACUGUCUCAGCUAAGUCUGGGGUGCGCUAUGAUUUUU